AUGGCAUCUUCAACCAACAACGCUGUCCAGGGUGAGACUUUUCUCCCCGGACAGAUCUUCGUAUUCGGCGGCUUUGCACUGUGGGCUAAUUCGCUUGGCCAUCUGGAGCAGAUCGAAAGCUACGCCCCUGGCCGUCAGGUCAGAUUCGAGAGCCUAAACUUCACGGCCGACGUCCGCGGAGACUUGAUCUUCGAUGGACUCGAGCCGCAGCCGAGCGUGCCGCACUGUUACGAUGGGCAAGAUCUAGCUCUGCCGCCGAACAGUGCCUUGGUGGCCACACAUGAAUCCGCUUCGGCCAUCAGUCCGGAGCCGAUCGCCCAGAUCGAGGAUCGGUGGAUAGACGCCGCCUCAGGGGCUUCAACUUCCACGGCGAUGGAGCCGAACAUUGAUCUUGUCCCCCGCGAAACUCAUGAUUCCGAGGUGCCGGACUCCGAACCUCCCGCGCCCCUACCAAUCGAUUCGGAUUGGGCGCCGGUUAUGGAAUUCACCGCCGCGGACAUCUUCCAAUACUCGCCCUUUGGCGACAUCCUAAAUUCGCUAAAGUAUCUCUCGUUAUCGGGAGAGUCCUGGCCGGACUAUGGCCAGGAUGGUUGGGGUACGGAUGACGAAGGAAUUCAGAGCCCACCCACCACCCACUUUGUAGCCACUGUCGACGAUCUAACCGACAUGCUAGACUACGACUCCGACGACAUCGAUGCUAUGGACGACGAUGCUGGAGACGAACAGGAACCAGCGCCUACAGGGCACUGGAAGACCACCUCGUCAUACGACAUAUAUAUGGUGGACACCCCAAAAGAUGGGGACGGCGAAGAAGCAGCGGAGGCAGACUCUUUAAAGAAGCAGCCCAAACGCCGGCGUCAGCGGCGCCGCUCUAAAUCCCGCCACAGCAAGAAUGGAGAUUCCGGCACAGGAGAUAAUAAUACCCCAGAGAGUGCCGAAGACAAUCCCCUCCAGCACGACUCAGCGCAGGAGGAUGCAGAAGCAAGCCCUCACGAGAGGGCGGCAGACGAAGAGGUCGAGGAUCAUAACUACAUGCCUCCCUCCGAAGACGAAGCAAGCCUCAACGAUGACGAAUUCGUCGUACCUGAGGAUCCCGUCGAACAAGAGCGUUUCAAACGCAGGCUUAUCGCCACAGCAAACAGCCUAAAGAAAAAGCAGCAACAGCUUCAAGCUGAUCAGGACCUGCUGCCCGAUCGAUGGACCGAGGUCCUCGCGGCCGAAGAGUAUAAACUCGAACGCCCCUCCAAAAGUUACCCAAGACGCAAGCUGCUCCCCCGAUUAGAGGAGGAGGCAUACAUACCUCAAUCACCAGCGCAAGAUAUGGCUAACCGACCACCCCGUGGACGUGACAGAGAGGCAUCCAGGCCCCCAGCCAAGACCGUACCCCGGCAUCGCUCCAAAAGUACGAAGCCAAGAGGGAACGCACCGGACUUGCGAGACAUAUUGGAGGACAAGGCAAGACAAUCCAGAUCCAUCUACGGAUCACGUGGGCGCCCCACGACCCAUGACGAAUACCGUCACACCGGAUACAAUAACCCCGGCCGGGCCGAACACAGUAGACAGCGCUCUCUCGAGCUGCAUCGUGAUAUUGCUCAAUACAGAGGCGCCGCACACCCGCUAUGCUUCACUGACGAAGUAAUGGAUCAUCAAAUCCCCGAAGGGUUUAAACCCGUCAACAUCGAAUCCUACGACGGCACAACAGACCCCGUGGUUUGGAUCGAAGAUUAUCUUCUCCACAUCCAUAUGGCCCGCGGUGAUGAUCUCCAUGCCAUCAAGUAUCUCCCACUCAAGCUUAAAGGACCAGCUCGGCAUUGGCUAAACAGCUUGCCCGCAGAGUCAAUUGGGUGCUGGGAAGACCUGGAAGCCGCAUUCCUCGACAACUUCCAGGGCACGUAUGUGCGACCACCAGACGCUGAUGACCUAAGCCACAUUAUCCAACAGCCAGACGAAUCGGCCAGACAAUUCUGGACACGGUUCUUGACAAAGAAAAACCAAAUCGUCGACUGUCCGGAUGCAGAGGCCCUUCCAGCCUUCAAACAUAACAUCCGGGACGAAUGGCUAGCCCGGCACCUGGGGCAGGAAAAGCCGAAAUCCAUGGCAGCCCUCACAUCGUUAAUGACCCGCUUUUGCGCGGGAGAGGACAGCUGGCUAGCCCGCAGCAACAAUCUCUGUAAAAAUUCUGGCAGUCCGGAUACUAAGGACAACAAUGGCAGGUCACGUCGAAACAAAAACAAACGCCGCAUUAAUGGCGACGAUAAGGAGGAUACGGCAGUCAACGCCGGAUUCCGAGGCUCUAAACCCGGUCCACGGAAGCAGCCAUUUAAAAGAACCACUCCGGGUCCGUCCAAUUUGGACCGAAUACUCGACCGCUUAUGCCAGAUACAUGGCACCCCUGAAAAACCAGCCAAUCAGACUAAUAGAGAUUGCUGGGUGUUCAAGCAAGCAGGCAAGUUAAUUGCCGAAAACAAUGACAAGGGGCUAAACAGCGACGACGAGGAGGAGACCCGACCGCCGAACAAUAGAGGACAGAAGGGUUUUCCCCCACAAGUGCGGACGGUGAACAUGAUUUACGCGACCCAUAUACCCAAGAGGGAGAGGAAACACGCACUAUGCGGACGGUGA
rnacentral:rRNA from 1 species